rnacentral:rRNA from 1 species
GGGUUGUGAGGUUAAGCGACUAAGCGUACACGGUGGAUGCCCUGGCAGUCAGAGGCGAUGAAGGACGUGCUAAUCUGCGAUAAGCGUCGGUGAGGUGAUAUGAACCGUUAUAACCGGCGAUUUCCGAAUGGGGAAACCCAGUGUGAUUCGUCACACUAUCAUUAACUGAAUCCAUAGGUUAAUGAGGCGAACCGGGGGAACUGAAACAUCUAAGUACCCCGAGGAAAAGAAAUCAACCGAGAUUCCCCCAGUAGCGGCGAGCGAACGGGGAGGAGCCCAGAGCCUGAAUCAGUGUGUGUGUUAGUGGAAGCGUCUGGAAAGGCGCGCGAUACAGGGUGACAGCC